rnacentral:rRNA from 1 species
UGGUCAAGUUAUUAAGGGUGCAGGGUGGAUGCCUUGGCACUAGGAGCCGAUGAAGGACGUGAUAAGCUGCGAUAAGCUUCGGGGAGUUGCACGUAAACUUUGAUCCGAAGAUUUCCGAAUGAGGAAACUCACUUAGAGUAAUGUCUAAGUAUCAUUAAGUGAAUACAUAGCUUAAUGAGGGGAACUCAGGGAACUGAAACAUCUAAGUACCUGAAGGAAGAGAAAGAAAUUCGAUUCCGUAAGUAGCGGCGAGCGCUUAAAUCUUUGAUUUACUUAGUAGCCUCUUACAAUGCACUUAUAGCUUAAAUUUAUACAAGCUUUGUGCGUUAGCACUUUAAGCAACAGAAUAAACNNNNNNNNNNNNNNNNNNNNGAUUAGCCCAAACCAAUAAAGUUUUCUUUAUUGGGGUUGCGGACAUAUCAUAACGAAGAGGUAUCGUAAUUGAAGAGGUUUGGAAAGACCCACCACAGAAGGUAAUAGUCCUGUAUGUUAAACGAGAAGACUUCAGAUAUGAUCCAGAGUACCACGGGACACGUGAAACCCUGUGGGAAGCAGGAGGGACCACCCUCCAAGGCUAAAUACUACCUAGUGACCG